UUUAUACCGUGAAACUGCGAAUGGCUCAUUAAAUCAGUUAUAGUUUAUUUGAUAGUACCUUACUACUUGGAUAACCGUGGUAAUUCUAGAGCUAAUACAUGCUAAAAAUCCCGACUUUGGAAGGGGUGUAUUUAUUAGAUAAAAAACCAAUGCCCUUCGGGGCUCCCUGGUGACUCAUAAUAACUAAACGAAUCGCAUGGCCUUGUGCCGGCGAUGGUUCAUUCAAAUUUCUGCCCUAUCAACUUUCGAUGGUAGAUUAUUGGUCUACCAUGGUUUCGACGGGUAACGGGGAAUUAGGGUUCUAUUCCGGAGAGGCAGCCUGAGAAACGGCUACCACAUCCAAGGAAGGCAGCAGGCGCGCAAAUUACCCAAUGCUGACACAGCGAGGUAGUGACAAUAAAUACUGAUACAGGGCUCUUUUGGGUCUUGUAAUUGGAAUGAGUACAAUUUAAAUCCCUUAACGAGGAACAAUUGGAGGGCAAGUCUGGUGCCAGCAGCCGCGGUAAUUCCAGCUCCAAUAGCGUAUAUUAAAGUUGUUGCAGUUAAAAAGCUCGUAGUUGAACCUUGGGCCUGGCUGGCUGGUCCGCCUCACCGCGUGCACUGGUCCGGCCGGGCCUUUCUUCCUGGGGAACCGCAUGCCCUUCACUGGGUGUGUCGUGGAUCCAGGACUUUUACUUUGAAAAAAUUAAAGUGUUCAAAGCAGGCCUAUGCUCGAAUACAUUAGCAUGGAAUGAUAAAAUAAGACGUACUGUUCUAUUUUGUUGGUUUCUAGGACAGCCGUAAUGAUUAAUAGGCUCGGUCGGGGGUGUCAGUAUUAUGUUGUCAGAGGUGAAAUUCUUGGAUUUACAUAAGACUAACUACUGCGAAAGCAUUCAUCAAGGACGUUUUCAUUAAUCAGUGAACGAAAGUUAGGGGAUCGAAGACGAUCAGAUACCGUCGUAGUCUUAACCAUAAACUAUGCCGACUAGGGAUCGGGCGAUGUUAUCUUUUUGACUCGCUCGGCACCUUACGAGAAAUCAAAGUCUUUG
rnacentral:rRNA from 1 species